rnacentral:rRNA from 1 species
UAGGGAAUCUUCCGCAAUGGACGAAAGUCUGACGGAGCAACGCCGCGUGAGUGAAGAAGGAUUUCGGUUCGUAAAACUCUGUUGUUAGGGAAGAAAAAAUGUAUAGUAACUAUAUACAAAAGAGACGGUACCUAACCAGAAAGCCACGGCUAACUACGUGCCAGCAGCCGCGGUAAUACGAAGGGGGCUAGCGUUGUUCGGAUUUACUGGGCGUAAAGCGCACGUAGGCGGACUUUUAAGUCAGGGGUGAAAUCCCGGGGCUCAACCCCGGAACUGCCUUUGAUACUGGAAGUCUUGAGUAUGGUAGAGGUGAGUGGAAUUCCGAGUGUAGAGGUGAAAUUCGUAGAUAUUCGGAGGAACACCAGUGGCGAAGGCGGCUCACUGGACCAUUACUGACGCUGAGGUGCGAAAGCGUGGGGAGCAAACAGG